UAAUUAUUACAUAAUAAUAAAUCCCCUCCGUGGUUCUUUAGUAACCAUUACAUUCAUUCGUUUGUCAUAGUAUUAAUCAAUUCAAAAGUAAUACUAUUCUAUUACAAAAUAACUAUUUAUCCAUCUUGGAAUUUCCUUUGUCCUUACCGGAUGCUUCGAUCUGUUCGUUCUUAACUGCAAUCAUAUAAUUCAAGCAAGAAUGAUCAUAACAAGCUCAGCAAUUUUGACAUUUAUAUUGCAACAACAAAAUCAAGAAUCAUAUGAUUUAUCUUCUAUAACUGAACAAAUAGUUUUGAAGUACUAUGAAUAAUCAAAAUAACACUUUUCUUUCAUUUAAAACAUUUAACAAUGAUAAACACAAGUUAAAUUCUGAGUCUGGUCAAAGACCAUGAACAUUCCAUUCUUUCUUUCUUUGAAAAGGACAACCCGACACUAAGACCUUUAGUCUGAUAUUUCUUACGAGCACGUCUAGGUGAUCAGCCUAUAGUACUCUAUGUUGACCAACAUUACUUCGUUAAACGUAUUUACAUUUAAAUUUUGGCAAACUCAUAUGGUAGUCGAUUUAUGACUUAAAAACAUUUGUUUAUUCAUACCCAGGCUUACCUUCGAAUCCAUAUCAAAGCAAUUGGCAUAGGAUAUCAAAAUCAACAAUAUUUUGAAAUAUUUGUAAAGAAAUCAAAAAAAAUACUUUAAGUUCUUGUUUAACCGAAACAAAAUGUCAUCGACUCGUUUUUAAACAAUUCAUGCAUAUCAUUACAUGAAUUCACAAAGCUCGUCUAACACAAAGUAUAGACAAAGGUUUAGAAAACUUACCUCAAUCGUCUUCUAGCUUUUAAUUCACUUUACAUUUGUCUUUAUAUGUUCUACAUGAUAUAAUCACAUAACAUACCAAUUAGCUAAAAACAAUCGAUACAUAUUGUUUAUAAUAUCUUCUCCUUCUUGUAUAACCUAUCCGAAUUGUUAAACUAAUAACAUUCGUUAGGUUAUUUAUCAUUCAUUACAACUUUAUAAAAUUUAAAUGUCAUAAGUUACCAUCUUUUUUCAACGUUCAAGUAAUUACAACCUAUGUAAUCUCAAACGUUCGUUCGACGCGAAUACGGUUCAUGGAUAUCGUUUACGUACCUUGCAUUUAUAAUUUCAUAACCUUGAAUUGACAUUUGAUUGUUGAACUUAAGAUUUUAAUCACCCUUUAGGAUGUUACUUUAGGUUUAAUUAAGGUUCAUUAUUAAUCCUUAAUCAUUCCCCAACUUUUACAUUUAUAAACUUUCUUUACUGUCAAAAACUCUGGACCGGCGCUGCGGAGCCGUGAUCCUUUGUUUCUGAGGCACUGCGGCGCAUAUUUUCAUCAACCUCCUCCCCGAACUGGUGCUGAUGCUGAUGCACCCCAUUUAAAGCCUUGGGCAGCGCGGCGAUGCUGUGGCGCUAGGCCAUUUUGUUUGAAAAAUUUUCUUAGUGUAAAAUCUUUUCAAAACGUUCACUUCCCAAACUCAUAUCUUGUUCGUUAUAACUCAGAAUUGGUUCGUUCAAAAGCCAAUUUCGAGAUUAUCUUACAUACUUCAAGUUCCCCCUGACAGAAUAAUUUUUUGAAUCAUUUAACGAGACUUUUACUUGAUUAAAAUUUCAUUAUUCAUUUUUUCUUCGUUCUUAAGCGUUCUUCGUUCAUUCGCUCGCAAUUCGUUCAUCCGAUGUCCGAAUUCAUCUGUUCUUGAGUUUAGGACUCAUAAACUUCGUGUUCUUCAACAUACUAAUGAAACCUAAAUUUUUUAGGUUAAUUAUUAACAUUUCAUUUUCGUCCGAAAAUCAUAGUUAACUAUGAUUCUUACGUUUAAGGUAUUUUACUGAAAAUUUCGUCAUAACUUCGUUUUUACGAAUUUUUACUCUGUUCCAAAUGGAAUAAAUCCAUCAUUCAUUCAUCUAUCAUCCUAACCAAGCAAUAAGCAUUUAACUUAUACGCGAUGGUUUUAAACUUAUCCAUCAACAACAAGCUAAGUUUUUCAUGCUUUUCUUCAUUAAGUUCUUAAUCAUUCGUUAUGAUUUCACUUAUUAGGCAUUCGUUAGUGUUUUUAGUCCACUAAAAUCCAUCCUUAUGUCAUCGGAUGAUACAUACACCACCAAUAAUCACUUCUCUAUCAAAUCAAAAUUGAAAAGAGAUGAAAAUUAAGGUUUAAAGCUUUUACCUCUUGAUGUUCUUGCUUUGUUCUUGAUUAAUCGAAUGAUUUAGCUUCUUCUUCUCUUUGAUUAAUUGGAGAUACUCUAUUUUCUCUCUCAAUAUAAUGCUCAAGUUUUGGUUGAAAAAUUUUAAACAACAAAUAAAGCAAAUAGCUUAAUUUUAUAGAAAUUGCAAAGUGAGGGCAAAAUGGUUAUUUAGGUACCUCCUUACUAUUUACACCUCCUUAACCAAGCUUCCUCAAGAAGCUUGGCCACCUCAUGGCCGGGUAGCUCACCCCAUGAGGGCCCACAUGGGUUGCUCCAUGGGUUUUAAUCACCCGCUUGAUCAACGGUUUAACCCAUGGGUUGAUUCUUGGUUCGGGCUUAAAAUUAAUUCAAUUUGGGCCUAACUUUGGGCUUAAACUAAAUUAUAUUUGGGCCUUGAUUAAAUUUAUCUUUGAGCCUUCCUCUUAGUUCAUUUGGGCUUGGAAAAGUCCAAGUCCAUUAAUCAAAUAGUCAAUCUUGACUUUAUUUGACCAAGACUUUGAUUUUACGUAUUUUUAUCGUAUAAUUCUCUUAUUCUUUUUCUAUUGACUUCGUAUAAUAUUCGUAUUAUAUACGUCGUAUUAUUUUUCGUAUUAUGCUUGUACAAUACAUUGUAUUAUACUCAUAUUCUUCCCGUAUAAUAACUUUCUUAUUAUAAUUAAUCAUUUAUUUCCUUAGAAAUUCACUUUUCCUAACAUUCUUGAUUUUGAGUACGUAGACGGAAAAUUGCGUUUGUCAUAACUGAAUUAUUAUUGGAGAAUCCAUCUUUACACGGAAUUCUAUCAUUAUUUAUUUCCCGAAAAUUCAAAAAUAAUUCCUAAGCAGAAAUGGAUGAAUAAUGAUUUUACGAAAAUUUCUCGGAAACCUUUUAUUGUCGUCUUGAAAAUUCAUACUAUUUAAUCCUAGCACACAACCAGAAUACUAACCACAUUCAUUCAUUCUAGGUCAUAGAACGACCUUUAACUUUCUUUCUCAGAAAUAAUAAACAUAUUUCUUAUUUUAUUCAAUAUAAUCAAAUAAAAUUAAUUUACAUUAUAAUUCGAUUUUCUCGGUCGUUACAAUGAACCUCCCAUGAAAAGUAAGCUACUAAUUCUGAAUUUGGAUGGUAUCGAUCUACAUGAUCACCAUCAUCAUACAAAUCUCAUACAAUUAUCUCUUAAUUGUAGAAAAUUAUUGGACUACAAACUGCUUGAGCAUUUAUAUGUAUAUAUACUUCAUAAAUUAUAUAUAUUUAAUUAUUUGGAUUCAAUAUCUUUUAUGGUUAAAAGAAUUGAAGUUAUUAGAAUUAGGCAAAUCAUGAAGUAGCCCUCUUGAGUUAUCAGUGUGCUUCUGAAACUCGGUGUUAGAUGAAGUAAUACUAAAUAUUCUUACUUGCUGCUUAUUUUUCCUUCUUGGAUGUGUAGAACGAGAGAUAAAAGCUUCGGUGCCAUUUCUUUGAUCUCUUUUACGAUUUUAAUAUUGUGUAAUACUAAAUUUUUAAUUUAAAUUGCAUAAAAUUGUGUUGUUUCAAUUGGUUUUGGAACCGAAACCGCGCCAAAUGAAACUGCACUGCACGAUUCAAAAUCGCACCGCACCAAUAACAAGCGGUUUCAUGUGUGGUUUUGAAUUUGUCAAACCCCACCUAAGCGAUUUUGUGUGCGGUCAAACCGCACCAUGCUCACCCCUACUUAUGGAUAUAAUUAGGGCUGAGCUUUCGGUUAUAACCGAACUGAAUAGGUUACUCGGUUAUAAGCGAAAACCGAAAUUUGUAUUUUUGAUAUCCGAACAACUAACCGAAUCGUACAGUAACCGAAUAACCGAAUAACCGAACAACCGAAUAUCCGAAUUUACUAUUCGAUUAUUCGGUUAAUAACUGAAAUUAAGGAAUAUUACAAAGAUGUGAAAUGAAUAUGAUGAGAUUAGUUUAACAUUGGGUCUAUCACUGAAAGUCUGAAACCCAAAUGAAGAGAGUGUAUUUACAUCUGGAAGACAGAAGGGAACGAACCUUAAUAUUGCCGACGUUGCUAUUGAAUUAGCUCUUGUCGAGAGAGAGAUUAGAGAGUGAGAGAAUAGAUUUGAUGCGAACGAGCUCUGAGGGGUCUAAAGCGAUGUUUGAUAUGUUGGUGACUGAAUCAUAAGGAGGUUGAGGUCUGAAGAUCAAGAAGGCUGGACAUGACUUCUUUUCACCAUUACAGAUUUACAGAUGUAAAAAAAAGCUUGAUUUGAGACUAAGGUCUAAGAGUGAUAUCAAAUCAGAUCUGAGACUAAGAGUCAAAAUAAGUGCGUGUGUGUGUGUAUAAAAUAGAGAAAGAGAGGAGAGUGAGAAAGGCAACUUUCGGUGCACAGAG
rnacentral:lncRNA from 1 species